CAGUCAUGAUGUUGAUGAUGUCAUGAAAUCAAUAUUGACAUUAUCAUCAUCCUGAUUGUC
rnacentral:precursor_RNA from 1 species